ACUUGGUUUUAGGAUGUAUUCUCUUUAAUUGUGGAGGCCUUCAAGCAUCUGGAUGACAUAGAGAGCCCCUUCUUUGGAAGGAGAACUUCAAUUCUUGAUACAGUCGCAAAAGUUCGGUCCUGUGUGGUGAUGCUAGAUCUUGAAUGUGACGAUUUGAUAAAUGAUAUGUUCCAUCACUUCUUGAGGACUGUUAAUUCUGGGCAUUCAGAAGCCGUCAUAUGCUGCAUGGAAA